rnacentral:tRNA from 1 species
UCUUCCUUGGCGCAGUGGUAGCGCGCCGUUCUUAUAAUGCGGAUGUCGUGGGUUCGACCCCCACAGGAAGAA